rnacentral:rRNA from 1 species
GACGAACGCUGGCGGCGUGCUUAACACAUGCAAGUCGAGCGGUAAGGCCCUUCGGGGUACACGAGCGGCGAACGGGUGAGUAACACGUGGGUAAUCUGCCCUGCACUCUGGGAUAAGCCUUGGAAACGAGGUCUAAUACCGGAUACGACUCUUCCACGCAUGUGGUGGGGUGGAAAGUUCCGGCGGUGCAGGAUGAACCCGCGGCCUAUCAGCUUGUUGGUGGGGUAAUGGCCUACCAAGGCGA